AGAGUUUGAUCCUGGCUCAGGACGAACGCUGGCGGCGUGCCUAACACAUGCAAGUCGAGCGAGGUCCAUCCAGUGGCAACACUGGGGAAGAUCUAGCGGCGAACGGGUGAGUAACACGUGAAGAACCUGCCCCGAAGACUGGGAUAACUCUCCGAAAGGGGAGCUAAUACCGGAUGUCCACUUUUCAUCGCAUGGUGGUUUGUGGAAAUGGAUUCCGCUUCGGGAGGGCUUCGCGGCCUAUCAGCUUGUUGGUGAGGUAACGGCUCACCAAGGCGUCGACGGGUAGCUGGUCUGAGAGGACGAUCAGCCACACUGGGACUGAGACACGGCCCAGACUCCUACGGGAGGCAGCAGUUAGGAAUCUUGCGCAAUGGGCGAAAGCCUGACGCAGCAACGCCGCGUGGGGGAUGAAGGCCCUCGGGUUGUAAACCCCUUUCAGUCGGGACGAAAAUGACGGUACCGACAGAAGAAGCCCCGGCCAACUACGUGCCAGCAGCCGCGGUGACACGUAGGGGGCAAGCGUUGUCCGGAUUUAUUGGGCGUAAAGGGCUCGUAGGCGGUUCGACAAGUCGGGUGUGAAACCUCCAGGCUCAACCUGGAGUCGCCGCUCGAAACUGUUGUGACUAGAGUCCGGUAGAGGAGCAUGGAAUUUGUGGUGUAGCGGUGGAAUGCGCAGAUAUCACAAGGAACACCAGUAGCGAAGCGAUGCUCUGGGCCGGUACUGACGCUGAGGAGCGAAAGCAUGGGGAGCGAACAGGAUUAGAUACCCUAGUAGUCC
rnacentral:rRNA from 1 species